AGAAAUGAUUACAGCCAAUGGAAACAUUCCCACGUGCACUUCUGUUUACCCAGGUUUCCCUGUGGCCCCGGUGAGGGGCUGCCGAUCCAUUUAUUCCGCGAACAGCUUUGAACUAGACCACGUCUCAGUCAUCUCUUCGCUUACUUCCCGGGAUCUCGCUCAGACGUACAGUGGUCUUCCUAACACCCAGUGGAGGCAGCCUAGAGACCCAUGCAGAAGGCAGGGUAACAGCCACAUGGGUCUCUGAAACCAGGAAGUCUGUCAUCACAGCUCAAGCACAGUCGGAAGGUAAAUCGAAAGGCAAUGGAAGCUUCUCAUCUCUUA
rnacentral:lncRNA from 1 species